GCGUAAUAGCUCACUGGUCGAGUCGGCCUGCGCGGAAGAUGUAACGGGGCUAAACCAUGCACCGAAGCUGCGGCAGCGACACUAUGUGUUGUUGGGUAGGGGAGCGUUCUGUAAGCCUGCGAAGGUGACCUGUGAGGGUUGCUGGAGGUAUCAGAAGUGCGAAUGCUGACAUAAGUAACGAUAAAGCGGGUGAAAAGCCCGCUCGCCGGAAGACCAAGGGUUCCUGUCCAACGUUAAUCGGGGCAGGGUGAGUCGACCCCUAAGGCGAGGCCGAAAGGCGUAGUCGAUGGGAAACAGGUUAAUAUUCCUGUACUUGGUGUUACUGCGAAGGGGGGACGGAGAAGGCUAUGUUAGCCGGGCGACGGUUGUCCCGGUUUAAGCAUGUAGGCUGGUUAUCCAGGCAAAUCCGGAUAAUCAAGGCUGAGGUGUGAUGACGAGGCACUACGGUGCUGAAGUAACAAAUGCCCUGCUUCCAGGAAAAGCCUCUAAGCAUCAGGUAACAUCAAAUCGUACCCCAAACCGACACAGGUGGUCAGGUAGAGAAUACCAAGGCGCUUGAGAGAACUCGGGUGAAGGAACUAGGCAAAAUGGUGCCGUAACUUCGGGAGAAGGCACGCUGGUGUGUAGGUGAAGCCCCUGCGGGUGGAGCUGAGACCAGUCGAAGAUACCAGCUGGCUGCAACUGUUUAUUAAAAACACAGCACUGUGCAAACACGAAAGUGGACGUAUACGGUGUGACGCCUGCCCGGUGCCGGAAGGUUAAUUGAUGGG
rnacentral:rRNA from 1 species